UUUCCGUAGGUGAACCUGCGGAAGGAUCAUUAGUGAAUAUUAGGACGUCUACUUCGUUAGGGCCUGACCUCCACUUUCUAACUCUGUGCACUUAUUGGGCGGAAAAGGGAAUUAGUAAUCUGUCUCAUGACGAUUGCGACUUCUUACUUUCUGCGGCUUACUUUAAACACUAGUCAAAGUAUGUAACGAAAUAUCAAAACAAAUAAAAACUUUCAACAACGGAUCUCUUGGCUCUG
rnacentral:misc_RNA from 1 species